AGUGAACGCUGGCGGUAGGCCUAACACAUGCAAGUCGAACGGCAGCACAGUAAGAGCUUGCUCUUACGGGUGGCGAGUGGCGGACGGGUGAGGAAUACAUCGGAAUCUACUUUUUCGUGGGGGAUAACGUAGGGAAACUUACGCUAAUACCGCAUACGACCUACGGGUGAAAGCAGGGGAUCUUCGGACCUUGCGCGAUUGAAUGAGCCGAUGUCGGAUUAGCUAGUUGGCGGGGUAAAGGCCCACCAAGGCGACGACCCGUAGCUGGUCUGAGAGGAUGAUCAGCCACACUGGAACUGAGACACGGUCCAGACUCCUACGGGAGGCAGCAGUGGGGAAUAUUGGACAAUGGGCGCAAGCCUGAUCCAGCCAUACCGCGUGGGCGAAGAAGGCCUUCGGGUUGUAAAGCCCUUUUGUUGGGAAAGAAAAGCAGCAGGUUAAUACCCCGCUGUUCUGACGGUACCCAAAGAAUAAGCACCGGCUAACUUCGU
rnacentral:rRNA from 1 species